rnacentral:tRNA from 1 species
GGAGGUACUUCCUAUCUGGUGAUGGGCCUGGUCUUCAAAACCAGCUGAACCGUAAUGAGAAUUGGGGUUGGUGGGUUCGAUUCCCAUGUACCUCCGCCA